AGGCUGCAUUUAUUGAAGAGAAAUCCCACAAUGUGUAUUUUAGUAUCUUAUGGUCAAAAAUAUAAAGUAUUUACUCUUUAUCCCAAAUAUCUAAAACAGAAAGAUCAGCGCAAAACAAAAACUUGCUAAAUAUUAAAAUGUUUAUUUUUGAAAUUACAGUUUUUUAGUGAAUUUAUCAAUCGGUUAGCCCAGGCAAGUAAAAGAAAAAAUUAGUCAUGCCCAGGCUGCUGAUAUCUUAUUGUUGUAAUUGGCUUAUGAAAAUGCUAAUGUGGAUUGCCAACAAGCAAUGCAGG
rnacentral:lncRNA from 1 species